CUAUGCGCCUUGCCAGCCCGCUCAGGUGUGCCAGCAGCCGCGGUAAUACGUAGGGGGCAAGCGUUAUCCGGAUUUACUGGGUGUAAAGGGGGCGCAGACGGCGAUGCAAGCCAGGAGUGAAAGCCCGGGGCCCAACCCCGGGACUGCUCUUGGAACUGCGUGGCUGGAGUGCAGGAGGGGCAGGCGGAAUUCCUGGUGUAGCGGUGAAAUGCGUAGAUAUCAGGAGGAACACCGGUGGCGAAGGCGGCCUGCUGGACUGCAACUGACGUUGAGGCCCGAAAGCGUGGGAUCAAACAGG
rnacentral:rRNA from 1 species